rnacentral:rRNA from 1 species
GAUGAACGCCAGCUACAGGCUUAACACAUGCAAGUCGAGGGGCAGCAUGGUCUUAGCUUGCUAAGGCCGAUGGCGACCGGCGCACGGGUGAGUAACACGUAUCCAACCUGCCGUCUACUCUUGGACAGCCUUCUGAAAGGAAGAUUAAUACAAGAUGGCAUCAUGAGUCCGCAUGUUCACAUGAUUAAAGGUAUUCCGGUAGACGAUGGGGAUGCGUUCCAUUAGAUAGUAGGCGGGGUAACGGCCCACCUAGUCUUCGAUGGAUAGGGGUUCUGAGAGGAAGGUCCCCCACAUUGGAACUGAGACACGGUCCAAACUCCUACGGGAGGCAGCAGUGAGGAAUAUUGGUCAAUGGGCGCAGGCCUGAACCAGCCAAGUAGCGUGAAGGAUGACUGCCCUAUGGGUUGUAAACUUCUUUUAUAAAGGAAUAAAGUCGGGUAUGUAUACCCGUUUGCAUGUACUUUAUGAAUAAGGAUCGGCUAACUCCGUG